rnacentral:rRNA from 1 species
CCUACGGGUGGCAGCAGUGGGGAAUAUUGCACAAUGGGGGGAACCCUGAUGCAGCGACGCCGCGUGAGUGAAGAAGUAUUUCGGUAUGUAAAGCUCUAUCAGCAGGGAAGAAAAUGACGGUACCUGACUAAGAAGCCCCGGCUAACUACGUGCCAGCAGCCGCGGUAAUACGUAGGGGGCAAGCGUUAUCCGGAUUUACUGGGUGAAAAGGGAGCGCAGACGGCUGUGCAAGUCUGGGGUGAAAGGCGGGGGCCCAACCCCCGGACUGCUCUGGAAACUGUAAAGCUGGAGUGCAGGAGAGGUAAGCGGAAUUCCUAGUGUAGCGGUGGAAUGCGUAGAUAUUAGGAGGAACACCAGGGGCGAAGGCGGCUUACUGGACUGCAACUGACGUUGAGGCUCGAAAGCGUGGGGAGCAAACAGGAUUAGAUACCCCUUAGUC